GCUUGCUUUUGCAGUCACCACAGUACUGUCAUUACAAUAUGCUAUCGCUGUACGUCGCUGCUUUGCUUGGAGUGUACUAACUAGAACGCGCCUCCAUCCAAAGCGACUGUAGGUCGUCUCGCGCGUUGUCGCGGUUGUUAGUUUCACAAUCAGCGCCAUAUUGGUAUGCUUUUCAGUCGUGCAAUUACAGGGUAGGGGAAAGGAAACGCGGAGCAUUUAAUGUUCAUAUAGUUUAGUUUUUGGAGGGACGAUGCAUCACCUCAGCGUUGUGAAUGCGGACAAAGCAUUUAAUAAUGAGUGUUCUCACUCAAAUGCAGAAAUAAGCACGUGUCUGACUGAUGAAGCAAUGUAAAAGGAAUCCAGUCAACUACCAGCGCUGAUUGACCGAGAGCUUGAAUCUUAGAACGGGCCCAUUUGGUGGCAGAACUUGUCUAACUGUAAUGAUGAUAGCUAUUGUAUAAUUGGAUAUAUUUAACAGUGUGUGCAAGUCUGUUUGCUCAAGUGUUGUCAUUAAUAACUGACCACCUUCACACAAAAAAAGAGGGACUAAGCUAUUUACUGCAGUUAUUGUAGCAUUUAAGCUUUUUAUAUUGAGUUGAAAUAUAUUUUUAUGGGUGUUGACUAAUUAUUU